GCAAAGCGGAAAAGUCGAAUACGAGCACGAAAGGCUUGCUGGGAAGAGUUAAAAAAUUAUUAAUCUUUUAGGUCUUUUAGCGAUUCCUAGCAAACCUUUCGCGCUCGUAUUCGACUUUUCCUCUUUGCUC